rnacentral:misc_RNA from 1 species
GUCGCAGCCGCUCCACCGUUCGGCGAUCGCUAUGCACGACGCUCUCCCCAUCGAGCCGCACAUCUCCGAAAUCGGGGAUGAUCAGACCUAUGGUGGUCUUCAGCAGCACGCUCUUCCCCGUCCCCGAGUGGCCCACAAUCGACAUCGUCUCACCACUCUGGACGACGAGAUUCACCCCCGCCAACACGGGAGCGUCAAACGAUUUGUAAAUGUUUAUGUAUUCGACCAUGGGUCGGGUAUGGUGUCGAGCUUCGGGCGUUGGCGGUUGGGUUAUCCGUUAUCCGUUAUCCGUUAUCCGUUAUCCGUUAUCCGUUAUCCGUUAUCCGUUAUCCGUUAUCCGUUAUCCGUUAUCCGUUAUCCGUUAUCCGUUACUGCUGUCAGUUUGAGCUUCGAUCGCCGA